CUUCACUGAGCUCUGCCUAUCACCUACUAAGGACUGCAAACAGCUCACAUCUGCAGCUGGAAAGUGACUUACACCUUGCUCACAAACUAGCAGCAGCAGUACAUGGAAGGCUCGGCAAAACUGUCUGCAGUAAGUCAUGUUUGAUUAAGGGAUCUUUUCUACAGUUAAUUCCCUAAAAUCCAGAGGGAAGACAAAGAAAUGAUUGGCAAUAUUGGUGGCCGAAUAUGAAAAGAAAGGACAACACAGUAACAGAAACAAAUCGCACUGCAUCAGUUGUGACCAUGAAGACUCACUCCAAACAGCAUGGGAUCCUAUUUUUGGGUCUCAAUCCAGAGAUCCAUAGGGUUAUGAAACAAUGUCUUAUCAUCUCCUACCAGAAUAAUGGUGAAGGAGUUUCCAUUUACUAAACAAAUGAUGGCACUUAAUGUGCAAAAGCAAAGAAAUAUCCAAAGAGGAGAGUGUGAAUAGGGAAGAAUGGAAAACAGUUGGCGGAAAUAAAGAAGGAGGCAAAACAAUAAAUGAUCUUGGCAACUAUCAAAGGCUGCACUGUGCUAGAUAGCCGGAAAAGCUGCAUUAUAAAGCAACUUGCCAACAGAAUGGUUUGAGCUUCCUGGAUGUGCCUGGAGAACACACAAGCAUUCACUGUUCUACAGGGGCCCUUAGUAAGGAUUCCUUAUGUACAAGCUCUGAACAUGACAAGAACUGCUUUGCAUUGUCAUUUUCACUGUUUAGUGAAAAUUGUGAGGAAGAACAACACAAAAGGGUAUUUUAAAAUAUAAUUUUGAAUAUUAUAUCAUUAAAACAAGGCUAAAUAUGAAUAGAUUUAAUAAAUCUUCAUUAUAACAAGGUGGCAGUUGAGUAAACAGAAGUUCAUGAGGCCAAAUGCAGGAUUUGGUCCAGGGUCACAUAAUUGUCUCCUCAAAUAUACAUGCUCUAAACACCAACCAGUUUUUGAAUCCACAUAUACCAUUGCUGACCCAUUCAGCCCCUAAAUGUGGGUUUCUGCUCUGCUUUUUGGGGUUUUUUUUGGCAUAGAUAGUUGCCAUUGCAUUAUACAGCCCCUUAAAGGCCAGACAUUGGUGCUGCCUCAAUAUGUACACCAAAAGUAAUUAUGCACCAGCAGGGUGACACUGUUUUCAAAGCCUAAAAUGCAUUUUAGAUAUUUUAUACAACAUGUCUCUGUACAACAAGACUCAUUCAUGCAAAAGCCCUACACAAUUCUUUCUUCAUCCUCCACAUUCAAUAGCAGUGGAGUUAACCUUUCUUUUUUUUAAUAAGCCCCACUUUGAGGCUCAAUUAGUCAGGACCCCUACAGCCAAUAAAAAGGUGACAGAAUGAAAAUAUUGCUGUAUCAGACUUUCAUCUAAAGUUGCAGAAUUGCAACUAUAGAUUGGACAAGUUGGACAAGUUAUUAAAGUUUGAUAUUUUAACCAAUGGUAAGAGGUGUCUUUCCAUGCUGGAAAUCAGUAAUCCCCAAUUAAUUUGUAUUAUGUGACAUUUGAUUUUCAGAGAGUAUCAAUUUGGUGGGGAAUUAGAGCUCAGUAAUGCCGCCAAACCAUUGAACUCCUCAUAAAACAGAUAGCAGUAAUUUAAACUCCAGAUAAAAACACAAUCUAACAAGGCUUUUCUAAGACAAGAUAUGUCUCAGAGGACACUGAAGGAAAAGUGGGAGAUUGAAUAAAAAUUUAAAUAAAACUUAAUUUUAAAAAA